UCGAGAAUCUUCGGCAAUGGGCGAAAGCCUGACCGAGCGACGCCGCGUGCGGGAUGAAGGCCUUCGGGUUGUAAACCGCGAAAGUAGGGAGGAAGGCUUCGUGAAGAACGAGGUUUGACCGAUCUACAGUAAGGACGGGCUAAGUACGUGCCAGCAGCCGCGGUAAUACGUACCGUCCAAACGUUAUUCGGAAUUACUGGGCUUAAAGGGUUUGUAGGCGGCGCUGUUAGUCGGGUGUGAAAUCCCAGGGCUCAACCCUGGAACUGCGCCCGAUACUGCAGUGCUUGAGGGAGACAGAGGUAAGCGGAACUGAUGGUGGAGCGGUGAAAUGCGUUGAUAUCAUCAGGAACACCGGUGGCGAAAGCGGCUUACUGGGUCUCUUCUGACGCUGAGAAACGAAAGCUAGGGGAGCGAAGG
rnacentral:rRNA from 1 species